UACGUAGGGGGCGAGCGUUGUCCGGAUUUAUUGGGCGUAAAGAGCUCGUAGGCGGUUUGUCGCGUCUGCUGUGAAAACUGGAGGCUCAACCUCCAGCCUGCAGUGGGUACGGGGCAGACUAGAGUGCGGUAGGGGAGAUUGGAAUUCCUGGUGUAGCAGUGAAAUGCGUAGAUAUCAGGAGGAAUACCGAUGGCGAAGGCAGGUCUCUGGGCUGACACUGACGCUCAUGCACGAAAGCGUGGGGAGCAAACAGG
rnacentral:rRNA from 1 species